AUCAGGAUAUAUCAGUUUACUUUUUGUCCUGGACCAAGCAGGAUUUUGGUACCAUUUAAGAGGACUAAACAGCAUUUACAACCCAGCCUCAGUCUACCAUGGCUGGCACAAAAAUAUAUGAUGGCUAUCCCA